ACUUUUAAAGGAUAGGAGUUAUCCGUUGGUCUUAGGAGCCGAAAAAU
rnacentral:tRNA from 2 species